CCUGGUUGAUCCUGCCAGUAGUCAUAUGCUUGUCUCAAAGAUUAAGCCAUGCAUGUCUAAGUAUAAGCGACACUUUUACAUCGAAACUGCGAAUGGCUCAUUAUAUCAGUUAAAAUCUACAGUGUGGUACCAAUUACUACAUGGAUAACCGUGGUAAUUCUAGAGCUAAUACAUGCAUUAAAUCCCGACUUUUUGGAAGGGAUGUAUUUAUUAGAUAAAAAACCAACCCAGGUUUUCCUGGAGUUUUUAGGUGAAUCAUAAUAACUGUACGAAUCGUAUGACUUUAUGUCGACGAUGCACACUUCGAUUUUCUGCCCUAUCAACUUUCGAUAGUAGGAUAGAGGCCUACCAUGGUUGCAACGGGUAACGGGGAAUUGGGGUUCGAUUCCGGAGAGGGAGCCUGAGAAACGGCUACCACAUCCAAGGAAGGCAGCAGGCGCGCAAAUUACCCAAUUCCGACACGGAGAGGUAGUGACAAUAAAUAACAAUACAGGAUUCUUUAGAGUCUUGUAAUUGGAAUGAGUACAAUUUAAACCACUUAACGAGAAACAAUUGGAGGGCAAGUCUGGUGCCAGCAGCCGCGGUAAUUCCAGCUCCAAUAGCGUAUAUUAAAGUUGUUGCAGUUAAAAAGCUCGUAGUCGAAAUUCGGACCUUGUCCACUUGGUCUACCUGUUAUGGGUACGUACUGGGUGUUGGCAGGUCAAACCUUUCCGGUGGGCUGGUCAUGCUCUUCAUUGAGUGUGGCCUAGCCAACGGAGCUUUUACCUUGAAUAAAUUAGAGUGUUUAAAGCAGGCGUUACAAGCUUGAAUACAUUAGCAUGGAAUAAUAAAGUAGGACCUUGGUUCUA
rnacentral:rRNA from 1 species